GUGCUUGCUGUGGCAGCACAUAUACAAAAAUUGGAAUGAUACAGAGAUUAGUGUGGCCUCUAUGCUAGGAUGACAUGCAGAUUUGUGAAACCAUCCAUAUUUUG